ACUGGCUGCUUCUUACAUGAAAUUCAAGUUCCAAUUCUCUCCAACGUGGUGUAUAUUUUAGUUUUGCGCAGCACAUCAGAUAUGAAAGCUUCAAGAUAUUUGUUUAAAUAAUAACUGUGAACACGAGCGAAUGGCAAAUUCUAUUUCAUUAAAGUCUUCUGCUGAGUCCAUCAGUUAACUCUUAACCGUGGUACGGAUUGCACGCGGGCUUUCCCAGCUAAAUUCGUGACAGUCCGGGAAAUACCUGGCUCAGUUUACUUGGAGCAAAGUGCAAUCUUUCUGUUAAUUUAUUAUCGUUGGAGUAUCUUUAUAGCCUCCGCUAAUAAACCGGUUUUUAACAAUAAGAAAAUUCACGGAUCGGUGCAAGUGGUGUUAGGUGUUUUUUGGCUGCAAAUUAAUAGUUCAGUGAAGAAUCACAGGUGAAACAAGUGAUUGGUACUGAGAGCAAGGUUUUUGCAGAAUGGUGAUGAGAUAAAAGAUUGAUGCUGGCGAGGGUGCCCGGAUAUUGAAUUGUGUUUUAAUGACUAUGUAAAACGCGGUUGAUGAAGACGAUUUAUCUCUAGGAGCCAAAUCUUGUUAAUCUUUGAAUAUUGCGUGUACAGAUCACUAAACCUGCACUAAAAUGAUUACACUGCAAACGACAAUUUGGCUGUUGAUACUAACAUUUUCUAUUGUGAUAUCUAAAAUUGACGCCAUCCAAUAUGUUUACGACAGUCUGAACGUACCUUGCAGUUUUUGGAAUACAAUUAACAUUACCGACGGAAUUCGCCUGGCAAACGGGUCCUAUUUAUACGAUGGAAGAAUUUACCCCGAGGACUACGUGGGGACGUAUGAUUAUGAGUUCGUCAAUUUAACUUUCAGGCAAUCAGUCAAACCACACCUUCGCGGGUGCGUCUGCAAGAUGGCAACCUGCGUUAGGUUGUGCUGUCCAGUUACUCAGUAUUUCGACGAUCGACAGAAAAUAUGUAGCGACCCUCCGAGAAAUGUCAGCACCCUGGUCAAUGUAACUGAUUAUAAAGGGAACGUGGAGACAGUAAAUAUUGGGGAGAAAUUCGGUUUUGUUUACGGUACGCCAUGUGAGAAAAUGUACUACUUGGAUCCUGCUUCGUUUGAGUACGACAAAUGGGAUCUGUUUGAGAAUGGCACAGUUUUUAGAUGGGAGGACAGAGCUUACCUAUCGAAAAAUGAUUAUUGUUUUUCUCCAACUUUCACCAUGAACUCAUCUGUGAUGAUUUUUAGUCCAUUCGUCUGUUUUCCAAAUACAGAAACUUCACAAUAUUUAAUUUAUGGAAUUGCUAUGUUGACUUCAGUGCCAUUUUUCAUUAUAACAGUCUUAGUAUACUUGGUUAUUCCCGAACUUCGAAACUUACAUGGAAAGGCUCUCUGCUGCUACCUCUCAUGUCUGGUGGUGGGCUACAGUUGCUUGGGGCAUACACUGAUCGAAGGUGGAAUAAUUGUGACAGAUCCUCUUUGUGAGAUUUUAGGUUUCACGGCAUAUUUUGCACUUAUCAGCAGCUUCCUAUGGUUGAGUGUAAUCAGUUUUGAUUUGUGGUGGAAUUUCCGCAUAAUGACAACGAGAGGACCAAAAAAGGAACUAAAACGGUUCAUAAUGUAUUCCUUAUAUUCUUGGGGACUCGGAUUGUGCUUCACAGCGGCUGUUAUUCUAAUACAGAAAUCGAAUAUACCUGAAGAGUGGAAGCCUGGUAUUGGCGGAGGACAAUUCUGUUGGAUAGAUGCAAGGGGAUGGUAUCAGUUGCCAUACUUCUAUGGGCCGAUGAUAAUAAUCAUAACUUUUAAUAUUGCGAUGUUCGUUAUGACUACCUACAAAAUCCACCAUGUGAAGAAAGAAACUUCAAAAGUUAUGGGGCGAGAAGAUAGUCGAAGGAAUAUUAACCGAGAAAAAGACAAUGUUGGACUAUUCCUGCGACUAUUCAUCGUAAUGGGCGUCACGUGGUCACUGGACGUGGUAUCAUGGCUUCUUGGAAAACGUUACGAUUUUCUCUUUUACAUUACGGACAUUUGUAACGCCAUCCAAGGCCUCAUCAUUUUCAUAUUGUUCGUAAUGAAAAACAAAGUGAAACGACUAAUCAUCAAGAAAUUCAACGGAUUCAGCGUCACCUCAUGGACAUCUCGCGUGGAGCAGUCUUCGCCACCAACUCGCAUAAUGCCUGUGGUCAAAAACAAUUGCAUAAAAGUUUGCCAGGACAAAUUCUAAACUCUAGACAGGCAAUAGUACAACACUACGGGGGAGAGGUACAUCAACGAUGGCUGUGAUAUAGAAAGUUGUAGGCAAACACGACGUACUGAAAGCAGGUCCUUUAGAAAAACUAGUUCUAUGUACUUGUAUAAUUCAGUACGUGGCCUUCAAAAAGACACUAGGACAAGUCAAUAUUCGACCAAAACCAGUAGCGUAACCAUGACGACCACGCCCACAAGUGCACUCCAUGACAAAACUGACAUGGGACUCAUCCCUAUAAUCGAG
rnacentral:misc_RNA from 1 species